rnacentral:rRNA from 1 species
GAUGAACGCUGGCGGCGUGCUUAACACAUGCAAGUCGAACGGAAAGGCCCAAGCUUGCUUGGGUACUCGAGUGGCGAACGGGUGAGUAACACGUGGGUGAUCUGCCCUGCACUUCGGGAUAAGCCUGGGAAACUGGGUCUAAUACCGGAUAGGACGAUGGUUUGGAUGCCAUUGUGGAAAGUUUUUUCGGUGUGGGAUGAGCUCGCGGCCUAUCAGCUUGUUGGUGGGGUAAUGGCCUACCAAGGCGUCGACGGGUAGCCGGCCUGAGAGGGUGUACGGCCAGAUUGGGACUGAGAUACGGCCCAGACUCCUACGGGAGGCAGCAGUGGGGAAUAUUGCACAAUGGGCGCAAGCCUGAUGCAGCGACGCCGCGUGGGGGAUGACGGCCUUCGGGUUGUAAACACCUUUCGCUAGGGACGAAGCGUUUUUGUGACGGUACCUGGAGAAGAAGCACCGGCUAACUACGUG